AUGCAGAGAAGGCUCCUAGAUGCAAUUGCCAUAGUGCAGCGAUGGGGUAAACCAGAUUACUUCAUCACAAUGACAUGCAACCCAUACUGGGAGGACAUAACAACAGAGUUGAUGCCCGGACAGCUACCACAGGAUCGACCAGACCUGGUUGCAAGAGUGCACAAAGCAAAGCAGCGAGAUUUGGUGGACUUACUCAUCAAGAAGAAGCAUUUUGGCGAGGUUGCGGCCUAUGUUCAUGUGACCGAGUUUCAGAAAAGAGGGCUCCCACACGAACAUAUCCUUCUAAUCAUGAAGGCAGGUAGCAAGUUAAAGACUCCAGAUGACCAUGACAGAGUCAUAUCAGCAGACAUACCUGAUAAAAAUAAAUACCCUGUCCUGCAUGCUCUGGUCAUAAAACACAUGUUGCACGGGCCAUGUGGUGUCCUCAAUAAAAAAUGUGCUUGCAUGAUUGAGGAGCAGUGUCGUUUUCACUAUCCUCGGGAGUUUUGCCCCGCUACACAACAGGGAAAGGACUCAUAUCCCAUAUAUAGGAGGCGGGAUGACGGACGUCGAGUAAAAGUGAGAGGAGCAGAGUUGGACAAUAGGUGGGUGGUGCCUCACAACCCUUUUCUUCUCAUGAAGUACAACUGCCACAUCAAUGUAGAAGCUUGCUCGAGCAUCAAGGCAGUGAAGUAUUUGUUCAAGUACAUUUACAAGGGACAUGACCGAACAUCAUUUUCAUUCGAGUAG
rnacentral:rRNA from 1 species